rnacentral:rRNA from 1 species
UGGCCAGACUCCUACGGGAGGCAGCAGUGGGGAAUAUUGCACAAUGGGGGAAACCCUGAUGCAGCGACGCCGCGUGAGUGAAGAAGUCUUUCGGUAUGUAAAGCUCUAUCAGCAGGGAAGAAAAUGACGGUACCUGACUAAGAAGCCCCGGCUAACUACGUGCCAGCAGCCGCGGUAAUACGUAGGGGGCAAGCGUUAUCCGGAUUUACUGGGUGUAAAGGGAGCGUAGACGGCUGUGCAAGCCAGAUGUGAAAGCCCGGGGCUCAACCCCGGGACUGCAUUUGGAACUGUGUGGCUGGAGUGUCGGAGAGGCAGGCGGAAUUCCUAGUGUAGCGGUGAAAUGCGUAGAUAUUAGGAGGAACACCAGUGGCGAAGGCGGCCUGCUGGACGAUGACUGACGUUGAGGCUCGAAAGCGUGGGGAGCAAACAGGAUUAGAUACCCCCGUA